GAGUUUGAUCAUGGCUCAGAUUGAACGCUGGCGGCAGGCCUAACACAUGCAAGUCGAACGGUAACAGGAAACAGCUUGCUGUUUCGCUGACGAGUGGCGGACGGGUGAGUAAUGUCUGGGAAACUGCCUGAUGGAGGGGGAUAACUACUGGAAACGGUAGCUAAUACCGCAUAACGUCGCAAGACCAAAGAGGGGGACCUUCGGGCCUCUUGCCAUCAGAUGUGCCCAGAUGGGAUUAGCUAGUAGGUGGGGUAACGGCUCACCUAGGCGACGAUCCCUAGCUGGUCUGAGAGGAUGACCAGCCACACUGGAACUGAGACACGGUCCAGACUCCUACGGGAGGCAGCAGUGGGGAAUAUUGCACAAUGGGCGCAAGCCUGAUGCAGCCAUGCCGCGUGUAUGAAGAAGGCCUUCGGGUUGUAAAGUACUUUCAGCGGGGAGGAAGGGAGUAAAGUUAAUACCUUUGCUCAUUGACGUUACCCGCAGAAGAAGCACCGGCUAACUCCGUGCCAGCAGCCGCGGUAAUACGGAGGGUGCAAGCGUUAAUCGGAAUUACUGGGCGUAAAGCGCACGCAGGCGGUUUGUUAAGUCAGAUGUGAAAUCCCCGGGCUCAACCUGGGAACUGCAUCUGAUACUGGCAAGCUUGAGUCUCGUAGAGGGGGGUAGAAUUCCAGGUGUAGCGGUGAAAUGCGUAGAGAUCUGGAGGAAUACCGGUGGCGAAGGCGGCCCCCUGGACGAAGACUGACGCUCAGGUGCGAAAGCGUGGGGAGUAAACAGGAUUAGAUACCCUGGUAGUCCACGCCGUAAACGAUGUCGACUUGGAGGUUGUGCCCUUGAGGCGUGGCUUCCGGAGCUAACGCGUUAAGUCGACCGCCUGGGGAGUACGGCCGCAAGGUUAAAACUCAAAUGAAUUGACGGGGGCCCGCACAAGCGGUGGAGCAUGUGGUUUAAUUCGAUGCAACGCGAAGAACCUUACCUGGUCUUGACAUCCACGGAAGUUUUCAGAGAUGAGAAUGUGCCUUCGGGAACCGUGAGACAGGUGCUGCAUGGCUGUCGUCAGCUCGUGUUGUGAAAUGUUGGGUUAAGUCCCGCAACGAGCGCAACCCUUAUCCUUUGUUGCCAGCGGUCCGGCCGGGAACUCAAAGGAGACUGCCAGUGAUAAACUGGAGGAAGGUGGGGAUGACGUCAAGUCAUCAUGGCCCUUGCGACCAGGGCUACACACGUGCUACAAUGGCGCAUACAAAGAGAAGCGACCUCGCGAGAGCAAGCGGACCUCAUAAAGUGCGUCGUAGUCCGGAUUGGAGUCUGCAACUCGACUCCAUGAAGUCGGAAUCGCUAGUAAUCGUGGAUCAGAAUGCCACGGUGAAUACGUUCCCGGGCCUUGUACACACCGCCCGUCACACCAUGGGAGUGGGUUGCAAAAGAAGUAGGUAGCUUAACCUUCGGGAGGGCGCUUACCACUUUGUGAUUCAUGACUGGGGUGAAGUCGUAACAAGGUAACCGUAGGGGAACCUGCGGUUG
rnacentral:rRNA from 1 species